rnacentral:rRNA from 1 species
UACGGGAAGGCAGCAGUGGGGAAUAUUGCACAAUGGGCGCAAGCCUGAUGCAGCCAUGCCGCGUGUAUGAAGAAGGCCUUCGGGUUGUAAAGUACUUUCAGUCGUGAGGAAGGUGUUAAGGUUAAUAACCUUAGCAAUUGACGUUAGCGACAGAAGAAGCACCGGCUAACUCCGUGCCAGCAGCCGCGGUAAUACGGAGGGUGCGAGCGUUAAUCGGAAUUACUGGGCGUAAAGGGCACGCAGGCGGUUAAUUAAGUUGGAUGUGAAAUCCCCGGGCUUAACCUGGGAAUGGCAUUCAAGACUGGUUAGCUAGAGUCUUGUAGAGGGGGUAGAAUUCCAUGUGUAGCGGUGAAAUGCGUAGAGAUGUGGAGGAUACCGGUGGCGAAGGCGGCCCCUGGGACAAAGGCUGACGCUCAUGUGCGAAAGCGUGGGGAGCGAAAC